rnacentral:misc_RNA from 1 species
UCCAACUUAUCGCUGGCGGUCUCCUGCGAGUUCCCAACUAAAUGAUGGCAACACAGGACAAGGGUUGCGCUCGUUGCGGGACUUAACCCAACAUCUCACGACACGAGCUGACGACAGCCAUGCGGCACCUGUGUUCCGGUUCCCUUUCGGGCACAACCCCCUCUCAGGGGCCUUCCGGACAUGUCAAAGGUAGGUAAGGUUUUUCGCGUUGCAUCGAAUUAAUCCACAUAAUCCACCGCUUGUGCGGGUCCCCGUCAAUUCCUUUGAGUUUUAGCCUUGCGGCCGUACUCCCCAGGCGGGGCGCUUAAUGCGUUAGCUGCGGCACGGAACUCGUGGAAUGAGCCCCACACCUAGCGCCCAACGUUUACGGCAUGGACUAC